rnacentral:rRNA from 1 species
CCUACGGGAGGCAGCAGGGGGGAAUAUUGGGCAAUGGGCGAAAGCCUGACCCAGCGACGCCGCGUGGGUGAUGAAGGCCUUCGGGUUGUAAAGCCCUGUCAUGCGGAAAGAACUGUUCUAUGGUUAAUACCCAUAGAAUUUGACGGUACCGCAGGAGGAAGCACCGGCUAACUCCGUGCCAGCAGCCGCGGUAAUACGGAGGGUGCAAGCGUUGUUCGGAAUUAUUGGGCGUAAAGGACGCGUAGGCGGUAAUGAAAGUCGGAUGUGAAAUACUUCGGCUCAACUGAAGAACUGCAUCUGAAACUUCAUAACUAGAGUACAGAAGAGGGAAAUGGAAUUCCCGGUGUAGAGGUGAAAUUCGUAGAUAUCGGGAGGAACACCAGUGGCGAAGGCGAUUUCCUGGUCUGAUACUGACGCUGAGGCGUGAAAGUGUGGGGAGCAAACAGGAUUAGAUACCCUGGUAGUCCACGCCCUAAACGAUGUCUACUAGUUGUUGGGAGAGUAAAAUCUCUUAGUAACGCAGCUAACGCGUGAAGUAGACCGCCUGGGGAGUACGGUCGCAAGAUUGAAACUCAAAUGAAUUGACGG